rnacentral:rRNA from 1 species
UACGUAGGGACCGAGCGUUGUCCGGAUUCAUUGGGCGUAAAGAGCUCGUAGGCGGCUUGUCACGUCGGGUGUGAAAGCCCGGGGCUUAACCCCGGGUCUGCAUUCGAUACGGGCUAGCUAGAGUGUGGUAGGGGAGAUCGGAAUUCCUGGUGUAGCGGUGAAAUGCGCAGAUAUCAGGAGGAACACCGGUGGCGAAGGCGGUUCUCUGGGCAUUACCUGACGCUGAGGAGCGAAAGUGUGGGGAGCGAACAGG